GGGGGGGGGGGUGAUACUUUUGGACACAUGAACAUAACCCUAUUUUUAUGAUAAGGUAUAUUCUUUGUAGAACGCGGUUUUGCCCAACACGGCAUUUUACAAGAACGUGUCAUAGUUGGUAAUAUACACUGAUUAAAAUAUAUAACAAAUAUAUUUUUCCAUACACGCAUCGCUUUAUUGCUUUUCAUUAUUAAGUUUCCUUUCCAAAAAGCACUCUGACCCGUUCUCAUCCAUUCCGCCUUUAAAAGCUGCAAUCGGGAUACAUGCUCUUAAGUGUGUCCCAGGUGUAUCUCUCUGGCAGGAUAUUUUUACAUAGCUUUUUUGAACUUGUUGAACGUUUUCUUUUUUCUCGAGACGCACUUUGCAACCUUCUUCGUAAUCUUAUAUUCCCUGCAGUUAAUUUGCAUUGCUUGUCAGAAAUAUAAUCCGUUGAUCAACAAAUUUUGAUUGUAAAAAUAUUGUCCGUUAUAUAUUCAUGCCUUUGCUUCGCAAUUCGAAUUUUGUUGAAACAUUUUUCAAAUGUUGGCGAGUAUUUUAAUUGCCCCUAGUUUAUUAACACUCAGAAAGCACACAUCCACAUGGGACUGCGCCUGCACGGACAUUAUGUAUCUCAGCACGUGGAUCGGUCAGAAUUCGGGUAAAGUCACUAAGGAUAGAGUAAACAACCCAGAUAGCGCUGUUUGCUCUGGUACCAAUACCCCCGUCCGUGCGGUCACCGAGGCCAGCACUAGCCCCUCGAAAUGCCCAGGCUACGUUGCUACGACCACGACGCCGACGACGACCACGCCCGAAUUCAUCCCUGAGACCACCACCUCGCCGCAGCCCGUGAUCACAACCCAGAAACCCAAGCCUCUGUGGAAUUUCAACUGCACCUCAAUUCAGGAGAGGAAGAACGACGGUGGCGACUGCGGAAAGCCCGCCUGCACAACUCUCCUAAACUGCGCGAAUUUCCUCAGCUGCCUCUGCUCGACCUGCGCCCUCUGCAGGAAACGUUGAUCGGCGUGCAAAGGUCGGGGAUGGCGGUGGGAAGGCGGGCGCGGUGGGGUGGGGGUGUAGUGGAGAAGGUGGAGGAGGAGGAGUGAGGAGAAGGAAGACCAGGAAGAGGGGAAGAGUAAUAAGCAGAGACGAUUUGAAAGGUUGACAAACUUCUCGCGCAAACUCCACCACCUUCGCGUCCGAACGACCAUGAGGAUACCGCGACGACGACGAUGAUAAUGAACAACCCAGCAAGGAAUCAACGACCACUCUUGUCGAAUCGCUUCGUCAGCGGCUGUUGCCGACACACACGCACGCACGCGCACACGCACGCGCGCAUUUGAAAACAAAUAGAGUUCCGAUUUAGUUUGUUUGGUUUUUACGAUCCGUGUGAUGCAGCAGUUUCGGCGACUGUCGAUUUCGUCGCUUAUUUUACUUAGUUUAUAAUUUUAUGUUUUUAUUAGAUCAAAUUAUAUAACUUGCAUAUUCUCUUCUUUAAAGUAUAGUCAACAGUUAUGCAAAACGUUAAUCACCGCUUAAGUGACGUUUCUUUGGUAGCUAAGAGUUUAAUUCUACGAGUUCAUGCCUGGAGAGUUGAGUAUUUUGUCACCCAAUACCCUCGAUCGUGUGUUUUCGUGACGCGAUCGCUGUUCCCUGGCUCGGCUCUCGGCUACUGUUUACCAUUCGCCCACGUCUGUCUUCGCUUCAUCCAUACAACUACAAAAUAAAAAUGAUUUAAAAUUUCA